rnacentral:rRNA from 1 species
CAAUAGCGUAUACUAAAGUUGUUGCAGUUAAAAAGCUCGUAGUUGAAUUUCUGGUCGUGAAAAGUGGUCCGUUCCGCAAGGAAUGUGUACUGUCUAUUCAUGUCCAUCCUCGGAGUUAGUGUGUAUUACUUUAAUCGGUCGUGCAUGCAAUACUUCGUCAUUUACUGUGAGCAAAAUAGAGUGUUCAAAGCAGGCUUAUGCCGUUGAAUAUAUUAGCAUGGAAUAAUAAGAUAUGACUUUGGUCUAUUUUGUUGGUUUGGCAUCUCCUAAGGUAAUGAUUAAUAGGGAUAGUUGGGGGUAUUCGUAUUCAAUUGUCAGAGGUGAAAUUCUUG